CCUACGGGUGGCAGCAGUCGAGAAUCAUUCACAAUGGGGGAAACCCUGAUGGUGCGACGCCGCGUGGGGGAAUGAAGGCCUUCGGAUUGUAAACCCCUGUCAUGUGGGAGAAAAUUAAAAAGAUAGUACCACAAGAGGAAGAGACGGCUAACCCGGUGCCAGCAGCCGCGGUAAUACGGAGGUCGCAAGCGUUGUUCGGAAUCACUGGGGGUAAAGCGGGCGUAGGCUGUUUCGUAAGUCGUGUGUGAAAGGCGCGGGCUCAACCCGCGGACGGCACAUGAUACUGCGAGACUAGAGUGAAGGAGGGGGAGGCGGAAUUCUCGGUGUAGCAGUGAAAUGCGUAGAUAUCGAGAGGAACACUCGUGGCGAAGGCGGGUUCCUGGACAUUAACUGACGCUGAGGCACGAAGGCCAGGGGAGCGAAAGGGAUUAGAUACCCCUGUAGUC
rnacentral:rRNA from 1 species